rnacentral:rRNA from 1 species
CUGCUCAAUGAAUAAAUUUAAAUAGCUGCAGUAUCAAUAACUGUACAAAGGUAGCAUAAUAAAUUGUUUUUUAAUUAUAAACUAGAAUGAAAGAUUUAAUGAAAUAUAAACUGUUUCAAUUAAAAUUAUUAAAAUUAUUAUUUAAGUAAAAAAACUUAAAUAAAUUUAAAAGACGAUAAGACCCUAUAGAAUUUUAUUAAUUUAAAUAUAUAAUAUUUUACAUAUAAUUAAAUAUAAUUAAAUUAAUUUUAUUGGGGCAAUAUAAAAAUUAAAAAAACUUUUUAACUAAAAACAUUAAUUAAUGAAAAUUUUAUCUUAAAAUUUAAAUAAAAAAAAUUAAUUACCUUAGGGAUAACAGCAUAAUUUUUUUUGAAAGAUCAAAUUAAUAAAAAAGAUUAUGACCUCGAUGUUGAAUUAAGAUAAAAUUAAAAAUGAAAAAAUUUUAAAAUUUAAGUCUGUUCGACU